GCAUCACAGAAAACAUGAAAUACGUGCGCCACUCAGCUGAAGAGAAAUGAAACUGGCCCGGUUACAGCACAGCAAUUAGAUUUCAGAACACAACAAGGUACUUUGGCGCACGGAUACCUGCCGUUUACCUACAAACUGAAUCUAGAAUUUGGUAUAAUGGAGCGACGGCGCCCCCCGGUGGACAAUCGUAUGAACUACGACUAAAUCGAACGCGGGCUACUUUUGUUCAUUUUUAGUCGAAUCACAGAAUCAAUUAAAAUGGUCAAGAAAAAAUUAAACACAAAAAAGGUUCCUAUAAAUACCAACGGAUAUUACAACACUUCCAUAUAAAAUAAAGCAGAAUUGACACUGAAACUGCUGGUUUCGUCUGCUCUAGUUUAGUUAACGUCGACUUUCGGGACUUCACAACGAAACUAUUGAAGUUCAUAAAGUUGGUGUCUGCAUUUUAUUUGUCGCCGACAGACAAAAACAUUGAAUUGGUGGAUUUCAAAGAACACCGUAAUUACACGAAGAAAACCAUAAAGACAUUAAGACGUCUAGCCAGCCGUGGGGUUUAUCGUAUCCCGUUCCUUCCUGUUUUAAAGUACUGUAUGCAAAAUCGUGGCAAUAGAUGGCGUUGCAAUUCAACACCUUCAGAAAACACGACAUGUUUUCCAGGAGCUUCUGCAAAAUGAGAACGGUUCUAAUUGAAGAAAUUCACGCAAUUGUUUAUAGUGGGAUAUCGAACUGCGACAGCGGCGUGAAAUUAAACAUAGCUGUACAUCUG